UUUUCUCUUUUCAGGUGUCUGUAUGGGAAAUAAAAUCACUCCAGACAGAACUGAAGUCUCAACAGAGAAGGAAUCUAAUGUCACCUUAUCCUGCAGCUACUCUUCAGCAGUACAUCUACAGUGGUAUCGCCAGUAUCCCAGAUCAGCUCCUCAGUUCCUCCUGCUCAUGCUACACAGCACUGGACAACCCCAAAGGUCAGAAGCAUUAGAUCCUCGGUUAACUGGGAAGAUCAACAAGGAGAAAACUCAAGUCUUUCUGGAGAUCUCCUCGGUUCAAGUGUCUGACUCUGCACUGUACUACUGCGCUCUGACGCCCACAGUGACACAAAACCACAGACUGCCAUACAAAAACCUGACUAUCAUUUAA